rnacentral:rRNA from 2 species
ACGGACAAAGGGCAGCAAACUCGCGAGAGCAAGCAAAUCCCAUAAACCGUGGCUCAGUUCAGAUCGUAGGCUGCAACUCGCCUACGUGAAGCAGGAAUCGCUAGUAAUCGCAGGUCAGCAUACUGCGGUGAAUACGUUCCCGGGCCUUGUACACACCGCCCGUCACACCAUGGAAGUUGGCCACGCCCGAAGUCGUUACUCCAACCCUUGUGGAGGAGGACGCCGAAGGUGGGGCUGAUGACUGGGGUGAAGUCGUAACAAGGUAGCCGUACCGGAAGGUGCGGCUGGAUCACCUCCUAA